UGUCAUCUGAAUUAUUGUCUACGCCAGUAAUGACAUUGACGAACUCGCCAUCAGUGUCGCCAUUGGGUAGCUCAACAUCAGCACUGGGUCUAGCUAAACAACAGUGCCAGUCAGCGACAAUAGGCUCUAAGUAACCGGAAUGGACGAGGAUUUUAAUCCGGCCAAGGNCUGUCUAAACUCGGCACCACUCCGAAAUUUGUUAAGAAAUGUUAUCACUAACAAACGCAGACUACUUUUUACUCUUUUGAAAUUCGCAUGACUACAUACAUUUGUAACUAGAAUAUGACUUUGUCUUCCUAAAGAAUCAGCUGAGUAUCUGCAGANAAACAACACUGUCGCAAUAUUGCUACAGUUAUUUGCUUGCUCGAACAUCCCCGUGGUGUCCUACUUCCUCGGAAGUGGCGUGCAUAGAGAAACAAAAUUAAUGGCGGGGAGUGCUUGUAGGAAGUCCGUAGGUAUGGGUAAUGCGUUGAGGNUUCUCUCGGUAAAUUCUGUGAAGCGAACCCAGUUAGCUUUGUUAAAGGUAAUGAAAGUGCGGUUGUACACANAAAUAAAGUCCUAAGGUUUCUCGAUCGAGAUAAUUGUGGGCCGAUGGUCUNAUGUUAGAAUUAUCGUAGGUCCAAGUUAUGCUAUUUAUCAGACCUCCACUAGCAAUGGUAAUAUUGGACGACCAAUUACAGGUGCCCAUAAUUCUGGUGAGGGCUUCGAAUGUCAAAUCGUCUAUCUGUUCCGCAAGCUCUAUCCCCUUGCGAUUAUUUGCGAGGCAUCAAUGCUAAGGAUCGUGGGGCGCAUUAAAAUCGCCUAGUACAAAAAGGUUUUCACCACGAAGUAGCGCAUUUAUGUUCGGGUAAUAUCAUUUAGGGCAACAUUUAACUGGAGGGAUGUAUGUAAUGAACAUUUCAAGCUCGUCAUCGGACCUGACGGGAUAGCUAUAACAUGACAUUCAAGAAUAGUAUCCAUGCGGUCAAUAUCGCCAUCGNUAAGACGAUAUUGCACGGUGUUGCGCAGUAAGAAGGAUAAGCCUCCUCUAUAAUAUUGCUCACGACCUUUACGUAAAACGUUGAAGCCUACCCAACUGAGAAGAGCGGGUGUUUAACUUGGUUUUUUCGACAGCGGCUAUCGAUACACCGAUGGCUCCAUUCACUGUAUAUAUUACACCUGACUAAGAUGGAGUUUGGAUGGAGCCUUUUGGCNCAAACGCAGCAGAAGAAUUUCUCCGAGCCCGAGUUGGACUAAAUGCCAGAACGAGUCAGGAGCAACCCUCCUGCAAGGCGNUGCUUCAGUGACGACAAGCUUACGCUAAGACUUACCGAUCUUAACGGGGUUAGAUCUCUGCAAUACCAGCCCUUAGCCGGAUAAAAUCCGGGUCAAUUCCGGUGCNUGGAACCGACUGUUGCGGGAAUUGCUGGACAUUUUGAUUUUGAGUUAUGUUGUUAUGAAGUUGAACUCACCUACCGACUCAAUAAAAUGCAUGCAAAANAAUCAGGGUACGUUCCGGUUACGUGUCUGGUCUUCGUAUGCAAAAUCNAGAAUUUUUGCCGAAGUCUCCGUUUUUUGAGUUGCGGAAAUUUAGAAAAAUAGGAAAAAAAAUAUUUUGGAAAAACGUAUGAAAUCGGUUCAUUUAAAGGUUUGGGCAGAUUUUAAAUGUGCUGUUCAAAUUAAAUUUCUGGAAACGGAGGAUGAGCCCUUCAGUCCAGUAACUUUAAUUUCAUUCGAAAAUGAGGACUGCUUACCUUGCAAACAUCUAAAAGGCAUUCAAAAUUGUGGAAGAUCUCAAGUAACUGCGACAAAUAUUCCGUAUGAGCUAAAACUACCAUUAAUAGAAGAACAAUUGAUGCAAUUUUUUCCCAGCCCCAAAUAAAAAAUUAAUCAACAUAUUAAACGCUUAACUAAGCAAUAGGAACUAAUAAAUUGACAAACUAAUUUAAUUUAUUUUUCCAAAUACUUAAUAUUUAGUUUGAUAUUGUUAAA
rnacentral:lncRNA from 1 species